rnacentral:snRNA from 1 species
CUGUUCACUUUGCCACCACAUAUACUAAAAUUGGAAUGAUACAGAGAAGAUUAGCAUGACCCCUGUACAAGGAUGACAUGCAAAUUCAUGAAGAAUUUAUUUUCUGA